AUUGAACGCUGGCGGCAUGCUUUACACAUGCAAGUCGAACGGCAGCGCGGGCUUCGCCCUGGCGGCGAGUGGCGGACGGGUGAGUAAUGCAUCGGAACGUGCCCAGUAGUGGGGGAUAGCCCGGCGAAAGCCGGAUUAAUACCGCAUACGACCUGAGGGUGAAAGCGGGGGACCGAAAGGCCUUGCGAUAUUGGAGCGGCCGAUGUCGGAUUAGCUGGUUGGUGGGGUAAAGGCUUACCAAGGCGACGAUCCGUAGCUGGUCUGAGAGGACGACCAGCCACACUGGGACUGAGACACGGCCCAGACUCCUACGGGAGGCAGCAGUGGGGAAUUUUGGACAAUGGGGGCAACCCUGAUCCAGCCAUGCCGCGUGCGUGAAGAAGGCCUUCGGGUUGUAAACCGCUUUUGUUCGGGAAGAAAUCCUCUGGGCUAAUACCCCGGGGGGAUGACGGUACCGGAAGAAUAAGCACCGGCUAACUUCGUG
rnacentral:rRNA from 1 species